rnacentral:rRNA from 1 species
UGAGGAAUAUUGGUCAAUGGGCGAGAGCCUGCACCAGCCAAGUCGAGUGAAGGAAGACAGUCCUAAGGAUUGUAAACUUCUUUUAUACGGGAAUAACGGGCGAUACGAGUAUUGCAUUGAAUGUACCGUAAGAAUAAGCAUCGGCUAACUCCGUGCCAGCAGCCGCGGUAAUACGGAGGAUGCGAGCGUUAUCCGGAUUUAUUGGGUUUAAAGGGUGCGUAGGUUGUUCGGUAAGUCAGCGGUGAAACCUGAGCGCUCAACGUUCAGCCUGCCGUUGAAACUGCCGGGCUUGAGUUCAGUGGCGGCAGGCGGAAUUCGUGGUGUAGCGGUGAAAUGCAUAGAUAUCACGAGGAACUCCGAUUGCGAAGGCAGCUUGCCAUACUGCGACUGACACUGAAGCACGAAGGCGUGGGUAUCAAACAGG